rnacentral:rRNA from 1 species
UACAGAGGGUGCAAACGUUGUUCGGAAUUACUGGGCGUAAAGCGCGUGUAGGCGGCCAUCUAAGUCGGGCGUGAAAUCCCACGGCUCAACCGUGGAAGUGCACUCGAAACUGGAUGGCUAGAGUCCUGGAGAGGAAGGUGGAAUGCUUGGUGUAGAGGUGAAAUUCGUAGAUAUCAAGCGGAACACCGGUGGCGAAGGCGGCCUUCUGGACAGUGACUGACGCUGAGACGCGAGAGCGUGGGGAGCAAACAGG